AACAAAGAAUUUAUUUUGAUUUUCUCGAAAUCCAGCAGCUGGAGGAAAUUCCACACACACACAAAUUAAAGAAGAAAAAAAAGGAAAAAGAAAAACUAGUAAAGAAAGGAAGGCGUUCAAUUUCCUCAGCAAAACUGAGCUCCCGUCUUCAACCCCUCUCUCUCUCUCUCUCUCUCUCUCUCUCUCUCACACACACACACACACACACACACACAGAAGAUAUAGAGAGUAUUACAUACACACGGAUAUAUAUAUAUAGAUAGAUACAAUUCUUGGAGUGAGGGGAAACGACGCCGUUGGGGAUUUGCUUGAUUUCAUCAUCUAAUUAUAGCACGGGGAAGGGUCAACCGGUCAUGCGUUUGAGUGUUGGCGGCUCCGAAACCCUAACCCUACCCUUAGCUCCUCACAAAUGUCGUCUUCACCUGACAAAAACUCAAUCUUUGACCCCUCCAAGCCCAAGAAGAAGCGCCACUGGAGCUGGUCCGACCCCGACAGGGUUGACCCCAAUGAGGCAUUGAAGCAUGUGAUGCUCAAAAUGCGCCUCCACUCCUUGUCCAACUCCGGCUCAACCACUCCUCACUCCGAAUCCGAACCCGACUCUGAUUCCUUCAGCCCUAACCCGGUUUCAACCGCCCCUGAUUUCACUGCUACGCUAUCUGAUGAAUUGUUGCUCAACGUUUUUGGUAGGAUUCCGGACGCAAAGCAGCUAUUUUCCAAUUCAUUGGUCUGUAAGAGGUGGUGUGUGCUGUGUGGCAAGUUGAUUCAAUCGAUUAAAUUGUUCGACUGGGAGUUUUUGGAGUCGGGGAGAUUAAGUUAUCGGUUUCCAAAUUUGGUUGAUAUUAAUAUUGUGCCGGCUAGUAUUAUAUUUGAGAGGAAUUCGGGGAUUUUGUUGAGUACUAAGUCAUUGGAGGUUUAUUUGAACUCGGGGGUGUUGGAAACUGAGGGUUCUUUUGUUAGAAAAGAGGACAUUUUGGACUCUGAGGCGAUUGAUAAAGGGGUGAGGAUAUUAGCUGAGGGGUGUAGGAAUUUGAGAAGAAUAGCAUUGAUGAAUGUUAGUGAAGAAGGGUUGAGUUGCUUGGCCGAGGAGUGUGAGUUGUUGCAGGAGAUGGAGUUGCAUUAUUCUGGUGAUUUUGCAUUGAGGGGAAUUACUAAGUGUCAGAAUUUGCAAAUAUUGAAAUUGAUAGGUAGACUAAGUGGGGUUUACGAUUCGGUAGUUUCAGAUAUUGGAAUGACCAUUUUGGCGCAGGGUUGUAGACGAUUGCUGAAGCUUGAGUUAGUGGGAUGUGAGGGGAGUUAUGAUGGGAUUAAGGCAAUUGGGAUGUGUUGCCAGAUGUUGGAGGAGUUGACAUUUUGCAGUCAUAGGAUGGAAGGUGGGUGGUUGUCAGCUUUGUCGUAUUGUGGGAACUUGAAGAUUUUGAGGCUCGAGUCAUGUAUGUGUAUUGAUGAAAACCCGGGACCAGAUGAGUAUUUAGGCGCAUGCCCGAUGCUUGAAGAGUUACAUAUGAGUCGAUGUCAAAUGCGGGACAAAGAGGGUGUAAGGGCAUUGUUUAUGGUGUGUUCGAAUAUUCGGGGGCUAGUUAUCGAGGACUGUUGGGGAAUGGACAACAAUGUUUUCGCAGCUGCAACAGUUUUUAGGGCUAUAAGAUCUCUCUCGCUGGAAGGAUGCUCAUUGCUGACAACAGAAGGAUUAGAAUCUGUUGUUCUUUCUUGGAAGGAGCUCGAUAGGCUUAAAGUAAUAGCAUGUAACAAUGUAAGGGACAGUGAAAUAACACCGGAACUAGCGACUUUAUUUUCUCUUCUCAAAGAGUUGAAGUGGCGGCCCGAUUCCAGGUCACUGCUAGCAGCUAGCCUUGCAGGGACAGGAAUCGGACAAAAAGGUGGGAGAUCUUUGAGGAGAAAGUGAUGUUAGGAGGUACUGAUCUAUACUUGGAAACUAUGAGAUGACUUAAAUAUGGAAGCCAACGCAGAGUGAUCUCCACAUGCAAAAUCAACACACUUCACAUUAUGCGUGCAUCUCCUGUUGGAUAAGAGUGUUGCGAAACCAUUUUUGCUCGGAAGUUGGUGAUUUUCGAAUCGGUUGGAUCUUGCUUGCUACCAUGCAAUAUCUCAACAAAUGUAAGUGCUGAUUAACAUAGUGCAGAUUUCCAGCAUUUAUAGCGUGAUAGCAACAAGAAGGCACAACCCUGCAGCAUCUGGAUUUAUACUACGGAUUCCAGCAGCAUAAUCGUACAGGGAUCUAAGACUGCAAAGUUGUGCUUCUCUGUAUUGCAUAUGGAACACAUAUAGUAGUUCAAGAUUUUGGUGACUAGACUGCAUUACAAUAGCCGCAGUAGUUCCUAUCCUGAUGCUUACAUUUCGCAAAGAAAAUCUGGAGAAGACAGGCAAAUGAACAGAGCUUCAGUUACAUGUUUUGAGUCCUGAUAGUAGUUCAUUCUUGCAUUGGUUCUUGUAAAUCCCCCAAAAUAUCCUGUUUCAUUGUAUAUAUUCAUCUUUUCUUUCGUUCGUUC